GGCACUGUGGCAUACCGGGUUAAAGCCCUGGCUUGAAGUGCCAGCAUCCCAUAUGGGCUCUGGUUCAAGUCCCGGCUGUUCCA
rnacentral:tRNA from 1 species